rnacentral:rRNA from 1 species
GCAGUCGAGCGGUAAGGUCUUCGGACCCUAGAGCGGCGCACGGGUGAGUAACGCGUACGAAACCUGCCUUUAAGAGAGGGAUAGCCCUGGGAAACUGGGAGUAAUACCUCAUAGUAUUCAUAAACUGCAUGGUUAAUGGAUUAAAGCUGAGGCGCUUAAAGAUGGUCGUGCGUCUGAUUAGCUAGUUGGUAGGGUAAAGGCCUACCAAGGCGACGAUCAGUAGGGGGCGUGAGAGCGUGGCCCCCCACACGGGUACUGAGACACGGACCCGACUCCUACGGGAGGCAGCAGUAAGGAAUAUUGGGCAAUGGACGGAAGUCUGACCCAGCCAUCCCGCGUGCAGGAAGAAUGCCCUAUGGGUUGUAAACUGCUUUUGUUUGGGAAGAAAUGUAUUUUUUUAAGAGUAUUUGACGGUACCAGACGAAUAAGCACCGGCUAACUCCGUGCCAGCAGCCGCGGUAAUACGGAGGGUGCAAGCGUUAUCCGGAAUCACUGGGUUUAAAGGGUGCGUAGGCGGCCAGAUAAGUCAGAGGUGAAAGUUUCCGGCUCAACCGGGAGAUUGCCUUUGAUACUGUUUGGCUUGAAUCAGAUUGAGGUUGGCGGAAUGUGACAUGUAGCGGUGAAAUG